ensembl:miRNA
UUAGGUUGGUGCAAAAGUAAUUGUGGUUUCUGUCAUUGAAAGUAAUGGCAGAAACCACAAUUUCUUUUACACCAA